GACGAACGCUGGCGGCGUGCUUAACACAUGCAAGUCGAACGGUGAAGCGCCUUCCUUUUUGGUGGGCGUGGAUGAGUGGCGAACGGGUGAGUAACACGUGAGUAACCUGCCCCCUUCUUCUGGAUAACCGCAUGAAAGUGUGGCUAAUACGGGAUAUUCUGGGUCUGUCGCAUGAUGGGUCUGGGACAGAUAUUGUUUCGGUGGGGGAUGGGCUCGCGGCCUAUCAGCUUGUUGGUGGGGUGAUGGCCUACCAAGGCGGUGACGGGUAGCCGGCCUGGGAGGAUCGACGGUAAUGGGAGUGAGGAGAGACGGCGACGCCUACGGCAGGAGGCAGUGGGGAGGAUUAGUGAACGGUGGGAGGAAGGAUGAAGCAACGACGCCGGGUGGGGGAAGGCGUUCGGCGGGUUGAGAACCUCUUUCGGGAGUGAAGCCGGCCUGCCUCGUUUGUGGGUGGGUUGACGGUACCUGAAGAAGAAGCGCCGGCUAACUACGUG
rnacentral:rRNA from 1 species